rnacentral:rRNA from 1 species
GGCGGCGUGCUUAACACAUGCAAGUCGAGCGGAAAGGCCCUUCGGGGUACUCGAGCGGCGAACGGGUGAGUAACACGUGAGUAACCUGCCCUUGACUUCGGGAUAAGCCUGGGAAACCGGGUCUAAUACCGGAUACGACUCCGCGUGGCAUCGCGUGGGGUGGAAAGUUUUUUCGGUCGAGGAUGGGCUCGCGGCCUAUCAGCUUGUUGGUGGGGUAGUGGCCUACCAAGGCGACGACGGGUAGCCGGCCUGAGAGGGCGACCGGCCACACUGGGACUGAGACACGGCCCAGACUCCUACGGGAGGCAGCAGUGGGGAAUAUUGCGCAAUGGGCGGAAGCCUGACGCAGCGACGCCGCGUGGGGGAUGACGGCCUUCGGGUUGUAAACCUCUUUCAGCAGGGACGAAGUUGACGUGUACCUGCAGAAGAAGCGCCGGCUAACUACGUGCCAGCAGCCGCGGUAAUACGUAGGGCGCAAGCGUUGUCCGGAAUUAUUGGGCGUAAAGAGCUCGUAGGUGGCUUGUCGCGUCUGCCGUGAAAGCCCAUGGCUUAACUGUGGGUCUGCGGUGGAUACGGGCUGGCUAGAGGUAGGUAGGGGCAAGCGGAAUUCCUGGUGUAGCGGUGAAAUGCGCAGAUAUCAGGAGGAACACCGGUGGCGAAGGCGGCUUGCUGGGCCUUACCUGACGCUGAGGAGCGAAAGCGUGGGGAGCGAACAGGAUUAGAUACCCUGGUAGUCCACGCUGUAAACGUUGGGCGCUAGGUGUGGGGGACCUUCCACGUUUCCCGUGCCGCAGCUAACGCAUUAAGCGCCCCGCCUGGGGAGUACGGCCGC